UACGUAGGGUGGCGAGCGUUUGUCCGGAAUUAUUGGGCGUAAAGAGCUCGUAGGCGGCUUGUCACGUCGGGUGUGAAAGCCCGGGGCUUAACCCCGGGUCUGCAUUCGAUACGGGCUAGCUAGAGUGUGGUAGGGGAGAUCGGAAUUCCUGGUGUAGCGGUGGAAUGCGCAGAUAUCAGGAGGAACACCGGUGGCGAAGGCGGGUCUCUGGGCAGUAACUGACGCUGGAGGAGCGAAAGCGUGGGGAGCGAACAGG
rnacentral:rRNA from 1 species